UACGUAGGGUCCAAGCGUUAUCCGGAAUUACUGGGCGUAAAGCGUGCGUAGGUGGCGCGUUAAGUGAGAUGCGAAAUCCUGUGGCUCAACCAUAUGGACUGUAUCUCAUACUGGCGUGCUGGAGGACGGCAGAGGCAAGUGGAAUUACCGGUGUAGCAGUGAAAUUCGUAGAUAUUCGCAAGAACACCAGUGGCGAAGGCGGCUCACUGGCCCAUAACUGACGCUGAGGCACGAAAGCGUGGGGAGCAAACAGG
rnacentral:rRNA from 1 species